rnacentral:rRNA from 1 species
GACGAACGCUGGCGGCGUGCUUAACACAUGCAAGUCGAACGGAAAGGCCUGCUUUCCCUUGUGGAUUGCGGGUACUCGCGUGGCGAACGGGUGAGUAACACGUGAGUGAUCUGCCCCCAACUUGGGUAUAAGCCUGGGAAACUGGGUCUAAUUCCCGAUAGGACUGCAGGGUGGUGCCUGUGGUGGAAAACGAUUUUCUAGUGGUUGGGGAUGAGCUCGCGGCCUAUCAGCUUGUUGGUGGGGUAAUGGCCUACCAAGGCGGCGACGGGUAGCCGGCCUGAGAGGGUGGACGGCCACAUUGGGACUGAGAUGCGGCCCAGACUCCUACGGGAGGCAGCAGUGGGGAAUAUGACACAAUGGGCGGAAGCCUGAUGCAGCGACGCCGCGUGGGGGAUGACGGCCUUCGGGUUGUAAACUCCUUUCGACCGCGAGGAAGCCACCUGGUUGGAAGGGUGGUGACGGUAGUGGUAGAAGAAGCACCGGCUAACUACGUG